rnacentral:pre_miRNA from 1 species
UUAACUCAAAUUUGUAUGGAGUUAGAACGUUUGCCUACGUUUGCCACUAGGGGCGCUGUUCCAACUGCAUACAAGUUCGAGUUA